rnacentral:rRNA from 1 species
CACGUAGGGGCCAAGCGUUGUCCGGAUUUACUGGCGUAAGGAGCGACGCAGGCGGUCGAGUCAAGUCGAGUGUGAAAGCCCCCGGCUACAACCGUGGGGAGGGUCAUUCGGAAUACUGAUCGACUCGAAGGCAGGAGAGGGUAGUGGAAUUCCCGGUGUAGUGGGUGAAAUGCGUAGAUAUCGGGAGGAACACCAGUGGCGAAGGCGACUACCUGGCCUGUUCUUGACGCCUGAGGCGCGAAAGCUAGGGUAGCAAACGGGG